GAAUGGGAGUGAGGAUGAGAUUGAGAGAGAGGAUGAGAGGGAGGAGUAACAAAAGUGAAAACAAUUUGAAAUAGAUUUCAGUUUUUAGUUUUUAUUUCCACUUUACUUCUCCCUCCUAUCCUAUCCUCUCAAUCUCAUCUCUACUCUCAUUCU
rnacentral:miRNA from 1 species